rnacentral:rRNA from 1 species
AUUGAACGCUGGCGGCAGGCCUAACACAUGCAAGUCGAACGGUAACAGGAAGAAGCUUGCUUCUUUGCUGACGAGUGGCGGACGGGUGAGUAAUGUCUGGGAAACUGCCUGAUGGAGGGGGAUAACUACUGGAAACGGUAGCUAAUACCGCAUAACGUCGCAAGACCAAAGAGGGGGACCUUCGGGCCUCUUGCCAUCGGAUGUGCCCAGAUGGGAUUAGCUAGUAGGUGGGGUAACGGCUCACCUAGGCGACGAUCCCUAGCUGGUCUGAGAGGAUGACCAGCCACACUGGAACUGAGACACGGUCCAGACUCCUACGGGAGGCAGCAGUGGGGAAUAUUGCACAAUGGGCGCAAGCCUGAUGCAGCCAUGCCGCGUGGAUGAAGAAGGCCUUCGGGUUGUAAAGUACUUUCGGCGGGGAGGAAGGGAGUAAAGUUAAUACCUUGGCUCAUUGACGUUACCCGCAGAAGAAGCACCGGCUAACUCCGUG